CGGAUAGAGGCGCGGUGCGAAAGAGUAGCCGUCCGAGGGGGUGCCCGACGACGACGGCGAAAGGUCAAACCGCCGAAGCGCAAAGGCCGACGGGUCUUUGAAGCUGGUUCUGCGGAGAACAUCCGCAGGACUCCCGCACGCACUGCCGUGCGGAGGAGCUAU
rnacentral:ncRNA from 1 species